AGCUACAGGCUUAACACAUGCAAGUCGAGGGGAAACGACAUCGAAAGCUUGCUUUUGAUGGGCGUCGACCGGCGCACGGGUGAGUAACGCGUAUCCAACCUGCCCACCACUUGGGGAUAACCUUGCGAAAGUAAGACUAAUACCCAAUGACGUCUCUAGAAGACAUCUGAAAGAGAUUAAAGAUUUAUCGGUGAUGGAUGGGGAUGCGUCUGAUUAGCUUGUUGGCGGGGUAACGGCCCACCAAGGCGACGAUCAGUAGGGGUUCUGAGAGGAAGGUCCCCCACAUUGGAACUGAGACACGGUCCAAACUCCUACGGGAGGCAGCAGUGAGGAAUAUUGGUCAAUGGGCGAGAGUCUGAACCAGCCAAGUGGCGUGCAGGAAGACGGCCCUAUGGGUUGUAAACUGCUUUUAUAAGGGAAUAAAGUGGGUCACGUGUGACUUUUUGCAUGUACCUUAUGAAUAAGGACCGGCUAAUUCCGUGCCAGCAGCCGCGGUAAUACGGAAGGUCCGGGCGUUAUCCGGAUUUAUUGGGUUUAAAGGGAGCGUAGGCCGGAGAUUAAGCGUGUUGUGAAAUGUAGACGCUCAACGUCUGCACUGCAGCGCGAACUGGUUUCCUUGAGUACGCACAAAGUGGGCGGAAUUCGUGGUGUAGCGGUGAAAUGCUUAGAUAUCACGAAGAACUCCGAUUGCGAAGGCAGCUCACUGGAGCGCAACUGACGCUGAAGCUCGAAAGUGCGGGUAUCGAACAGGAUUAGAUACCCUGGUAGUCCGCACGGUAAACGAUGGAUGCCCGCUGUUGGCCUGAAUAGGUCAGCGGCCAAGCGAA
rnacentral:rRNA from 1 species